rnacentral:rRNA from 1 species
UACGGGGGGAGCAAGCGUUGUUCGGAUUUACUAGGCGUAAAGGGCGCGUAGGCGGUCGUGACAAGUCACUUGUGAAAUCUCCGGGCUUAACUCGGAACGGUCAAGUGAUACUGUCGGACUAGAGUACAGAAGGGGCAACUGGAAUUCUCGGUGUAGCGGUGAAAUGCGUAGAUAUCGAGAGGAACACCUGCGGCGAAGGCGGGUUGCUGGGCUGAUACUGACGCUGAGGCACGAAGGCCAGGGGAGCAAACGGG